rnacentral:tRNA from 1 species
GGCGGUAUAGUGCAGAGGUAUAGCACAUCCUCCCCCCAAGAGGAAGACCCCGGUUCGAAGCCGGGUGCCGUCA